UCCACAUCCAUAUGUGUAGGAUCUCAAAGGAUCACCAUUAAAUUUGGCACAGAUCUAUAGAAAAGUUAAGACAUAUGUGUGGGACUUGAUUUUUCUAAAGAUCUGUGUCAAAUUUAGUGGUAAUCCUUUGGGGUCCUACACACAUGGGUGUGGG
rnacentral:pre_miRNA from 1 species